CCUACGGGGGGCUGCAGUGAGGAAUAUUGGUCAAUGGACGAGAGUCUGAACCAGCCAAGUAGCGUGAAGGAUGACUGCCCUAUGGGUUGUAAACUUCUUUUAUAUGGGAAUAAAAUGUUCCACGUGUGGGAUUUUGUAUGUCCCAUAUGAUUAAGGAUCGGCCAACUCGGUGCCAGCACCCGCGGUAAGCCGGAGGACCCGAGCGUUAUCGGGCUGUACUGGGGUUGAAGGGCGCGUCGGUGGAUGCUUAGGUCAGUUGGGAAAGUUUGCGGCGCAACCGUAAGAUUGCAGUGGAAACUGGCAGUCUUGAGUACGGUAGAGGUGGGCGGAAUUCGUGGUGGAGGGGUGAAAUGCUUAGAUAUCAGGAAGAACUCCGAGUGCGAAGGCAGCUGACUGGACUGCAACUGACACUGAGGCUCGAAAGUGUGGGUAGCAAACGGGAUUAGAUACCCUUGUAGGC
rnacentral:rRNA from 1 species